rnacentral:lncRNA from 1 species
GUUUUGCUACCAUGACAGUGGUUUUAUCUUUUUUUUAAUUAAUUCAUUUGAAUCCUUCAAAAACCAUAAUAAAUCACAAAAAAUAUAAAAUGGAAAAUUCAAUAUUUUUGGACUCCACAUAAAUAGAUCUAUACAGUAAACAUAUAAUAUGGUAUGCUUUAGUAUAAAGUUUUUCUAUAAAGGUUUUGUCCUUUUUUUAUUUGGCUGUAUCUUUAAAAAUUAUAGUAAAUCAUAGAAAACUCAUAAAAUAGAAAAUCUAAAUCUAAUUUUGUUAGACUCCACAUGAGUAUAUAUACACAAUGGACAUAUAAUAUGUGUAUGCUUUAGUCCGAC